GUAGUUGUGGCUGAGUGGUGAAGGCGAUGAACUUGAAAUCCAUGGGGCAUUCCCACGCAGGUUCGAAUCUUGUCAACUACA